rnacentral:rRNA from 1 species
AACGAACGCUGGCGGCGUGCCUAACACAUGCAAGUCGAACGUGAUUGAGAGCUUGCUCUCAUGAAAGUGGCGCACGGGUGAGUAACGCGUAGAUAAUCUACCUGGUGAUCCGGGAUAACACCUCGAAAGGGGUGCUAAUACCUGAUAAGCCCACGGGGUCUUCGGACUCUGCGGGAAAAGGGGGGGACCUUUAGGCCUUCCGUCAUCAGAUGAGUCUGCGUACCAUUAGCUAGUUGGUAGGGUAAAGGCCUACCAAGGCGAGGAUGGUUAGCUGGUCUGUGAGGAUGAUCAGCCACACUGGAACUGAGACACGGUCCAGACUCCUACGGGAGGCAGCAGUGGGGAAUUUUGCGCAAUGGGGGAAACCCUGACGCAGCAACGCCGCGUGAGUGAUGAAGGCCCUUGGGUCGUAAAGCUCUGACAGAGGGAAAGAAGUGCAGGGGAGCUAAUAUCUCCUUUGCUUGACGGUACCCUCAAAGGAAGCACCGGCUAACUCCGUGCCAGCCGCCGCCGUAACAC